rnacentral:rRNA from 1 species
UACGUAGGGGGCAAGCGUUGUCCGGAUUUACUGGGCGUAAAGCGCGUGUAGGCGGCUUUGCAAGUCGGGUGUGAAAGCCCUCAGCUCAACUGAGGAAGUGCGCCCGAAACUGCAGAGCUUGAGUACCGGAGAGGGUGGCGGAAUUCCCCAAGUAGAGGUGAAAUUCGUAGAUAUGGGGAGGAACACCAGUGGCGAAGGCGGCCACCUGGACGGAUACUGACGCUGAGACGCGAAAGCGUGGGGAGCAAACAGG